GAAACCGGCGAACGGGUGAGUAUCACGUGAGGAACCUGCCCCCUAGAUCGGGAUAGCCCGAGGAAACUCGGAUUAAUACCGAAUAUUCUCAUAGGACCGCAUGGUCCUUUGAGGAAAUGGUCCGCCGCUAGGGGAUGGUCUCGCGGCCUAUCAGGUAGUUGGUGGGGUAAUGGCCCACCAAGCCGAAGACGGGUAGCUGGUCUGAGAGGACGAUCAGCCACACUGGAACUGAGAUACGGUCCAGACUCCUACGGGGGGCAGCAGCAGGGAAUAUUGCACAAUGGGCGAAAGCCUGAUGCAGCGACACCGCGUGCGGGAUGACGGCCUUCGGGUUGUAAACCGCUUUCAGGAGGGAAGAAAAUGACGGUACCUCCAGAAGAAGCUCCGGCCAACUACGUGCCAGCAGCCGCGGUAAUACGUAGGGAGCAAACGUUGUCCGGAUUUAUUGGGCGUAAAGGGCUCGUAGGCGGUUCAACAAGUCGGUCGUGAAAGCCCGGGGCUCAACCCCGGGNACGCCGGUCGAAACUGUUGUGACUAGAGUUCGGUAGAGGUGAGUGGAAUUCUCAGUGUAGCGGUGGAAUGCGCA
rnacentral:rRNA from 1 species